rnacentral:rRNA from 1 species
UGGGGAAUUUUGGACAAUGGGCGAAAGCCUGAUCCAGCAAUGCCGCGUGUGUGAAGAAGGCCUUCGGGUUGUAAAGCACUUUUGUCCGGAAAGAAAUCCUUGGCUCUAAUACAGUCGGGGGAUGACGGUACCGGAAGAAUAAGCACCGGCUAACUACGUGCCAGCAGCCGCGGUAAUACGUAGGGUGCAAGCGUUAAUCGGAAUUACUGGGCGUAAAGCGUGCGCAGGCGGUUUGCUAAGACCGAUGUGAAAUCCCCGGGCUCAACCUGGGAACUGCAUUGGUGACUGGCAGGCUAGAGUAUGGCAGAGGGGGGUAGAAUUCCACGUGUAGCAGUGAAAUGCGUAGAGGUGUGGAGGAAUACCGAUGGCGAAGGCAGCCCCCGUGGGCCAAUACUGACGCUCAUGCACGAAAAGCGUGGGGGAGCAAAACAGGAUUAGAUACCCUGGUAGUCCACGCCCUAAACGAUGUCAACUAGUUGUUGGGGAUUCAUUUCCUUAGUAACGUAGCUAACGCGUGAAGUUGACCGCCUGGGGAGUACGGUCGCAAGUUAAAACUCAAAUGAAUUGACGGGGUCAUAGCUGUUUCCU